AGAUUAAGUUAUUAAGGGCGCACGGUGGAUGCCUUGGCACUAGAAGCCGAUGAAGGACGUUACUAACGACGAUAUGCUUUGGGGAGCUGUAAGUAAGCUUUGAUCCAGAGAUUUCCGAAUGGGGAAACCCAGCAUGAGUUAUGUCAUGUUAUCGAUAUGUGAAUACAUAGCAUAUCAGAAGGCACACCCGGAGAACUGAAACAUCUUAGUACCCGGAGGAAGAGAAAGAAAAUUCGAUUCCCUUAGUAGCGGCGAGCGAAACGGGAAGAGCCCAAACCAACAAGCUUGCUUGUUGGGGUUGUAGGACACUCUAUACGGAGUUACAAAGGACGACAUUAGACGAAUCAUCUGGAAAGAUGAAUCAAAGAAGGUAAUAAUCCUGUAGUCGAAAAUGUUGUCUCUCUUGAGUGGAUCCUGAGUACGACGGAGCACGUGAAAUUCCGUCGGAAUCUGGGAGGACCAUCUCCUAAGGCUAAAUACUCUCUAGUGACCGAUAGUGAACCAGUACCGUGAGGGAAAGGUGAAAAGCACCCCGGAAGGGGAGUGAAAUAGAACCUGAAACCGUGUGCUUACAAGCAGCCAGAGCCCGUUAAUGGUGGCUGGCGUGCCUUUUGUAGAAUGAACCGGCGAGUUACGAUUUGAUGCAAGGUUAAGCAGUAAAUGUGGAGCCGUAGCGAAAGCGAGUCUGAAUAGGGCGUUUAGUAUUUGGUCGUAGACCCGAAACCAGGUGAUCUACCCUUGGUCAGGUUGAAGUUCAGGUAACACUGAAUGGAGGACCGAACCGACUUACUUACGUUGAAAAGUGAGCGGAUGAACUGAGGGUAGCGGAGAAAUUCCAAUCGAACCUGGAGAUAGCUGGUUCUCUCCGAAAUAGCU
rnacentral:rRNA from 1 species